rnacentral:lncRNA from 1 species
AGCUAGUCUCGAGCCGUUUUGACCCCGCGCGCCCCCGAAAUGGGAUGGAGAAGACAGACGAAGAUUAACUUCCAGAGAGGAGAGUCCCCCAAGGGGACAGCACGGGCCAUAUGUAAUUCGCACGGCUCAUCCCGGCGGGUUGAGGGUUAGCCAGGUCGACCCAGAGGGGCCAAACAUUGAUACGGCCAAUCUAGCAUUUCGAACCAAUUGCAUUAAUAAGCAACACCAUACCCUGCUCCGGUGACCCCUUUCGUGCUUUCCGGCUAUCAAAGCAGAACCGAGUUGCAAGCGGCCAUGUUUAGCCCCAUGCCUCCACCUAUCACCUCUAUCACGGAAGUGUUAGAGUGGCCUCGCCGCCAUCUUGCCCAGCCUUCCACGGCACGAAUGUUAUCGAGACUGGCACUCUCCCAGAGCUGGGAAGGCGGGCAGUGGUAAUUUUCUAUGCAUCUGCGGGUCCUUCCACGGGUUAACGAGAGAGACGAGGCUACUUGAUUCGGCAGGAAAUGGAACCCGUUCCCCACCGAGAGGGAGCAGGGGAGGAGCAAGACUUGGGAGUUGAUCCCAGAAAAGCUGAGGCUAUGCCUGUGACCCGAGGACGAUGUGUGGGGUGGAUAAGGACGGACCAGUUCAGGAAUAGCAGUGGAACAGGCACAUGGGGUAAACCAGCCCCUGACCUCCCUUCACCUUUAGUGGCACCAGCCUCGUGGGUCACCCUGACCCGAAGGUGACGCCCUGCUGUGUCUACAAAAGUAAUUCGCCACAGACGGCAGGUGCCACGCGUGGCGAAAAGCAAGCAAGGUACGCAACUUCCGCCCACGUGGAUAUUGAUGAAGCGUUGGAUAAGGAUCCUGUGUCAUGGCGGACAGGAGCCCCUGAGCGUGACGUCACUCAUUUCUCGGGAAACAAAAACACAAAUAAAAACCCUCCGCCAGCAUACCUCACGUCCUCAAGAACAAAAAUAACAGAGAAGCACUCUGUUCCUUUCGUGCGUGAGGCGUGUGAAAGAUGUAAUGAAAAAUUAACACAUAUCGCGGUCGAUGCCAUCCGACAUUUGCAAUCGAAAAUGAAGUCCAAAAGGCAAGUUUGUUUUUCUCCAUGCGGUUUUCGCUACGGAAAAUAUUGCUGAAUGCUUGAUUAGAGCAGUCCUUUGCGCUAUCUGUUGACACUGUAUGCCGGGGAAUAUUGAAAACCAGCCAAAGGAAAGGGGACAUCUCAAUCACAGAGAAAAUUGCCUUUAAAGAUUUACUGUCGACCUCCAUUGAAAGUAUUGUACGAUUGCAUACGUGUUGCAUACAUCGUCUUCUGGUAAUGAUGUCGAUUCAGACUUGUAUGGCUGCAUGCAUUCAGACAUACACUCGUGGUUGAUAACAAAACUGGGUUUUUUUAUUCAGACCCUGGGCGGAAGGACAAAGACUUUCACACCUUUGCACUAUCUCUCAAGUUCUGUUUUAAACUCAAGGCCUGUUUCGCAUUUUCCGUCUCUUGCAUAAUUUACUCAAAGUCUUUGUCUUGGAGGUUCCUUUGGCCCAAGUUUCUCUUUGUGUCGCUAAUGGCGUACGUUACCGGACCAAGACCGGCACCAGGAGUGGUCGUCAAGGUGAUGGUCAAGAUGAUGUUUGCAUGCUAGGAACAUCUUUGAGAAAGAACAAGCUCCCGAUGCCUCGAAUAAAAAUGGUGCACUCGGGAAUGAGGUCAACCUUCUGAGUAUUUCAGGGCCACGUAGGUUUAUUUUUCGUAUUUAUAGAGACUGUUUUGAAAGCAGCCUCGAAUAUAUUUUUUCAUUAUGUUUGUGCAUCAAAAUAAAACUACCUGAUAUUAAAACUACUGUUAGAUUAAAAAAUAAAUGGGGAUACUUUCUCGCUAUUUUAAAUUGAAGUUGUUUGCGUCUUCAUAGAAAAUAAGUGAGAAACUAUGUCAGCAAAGCUCCCAUGUGACCAGCAAUUCAUUUCUUGUCGGUCUUGAGCAUUGCCAGCCAAUUGGAAGAAAGUAAAUAUACCAUAGGCUUCAAACUCGACAGCCCACAGCUGUGCCU